rnacentral:rRNA from 1 species
CCGUUCCCAUACCGAACACGGAAGUUAAGCUCUUCAGCGCCGAUGGUAGUUGGGGGUUUCCCCCUGUGAGAGUAGGACGCCGCCAAGC